rnacentral:miRNA from 1 species
UGGGUUGGGCAAAAAGGUUGUUUGGGUUUUUAUGUAAAAGCUUAUGGAAAAAAUCCUAAUGAACUUUUUGGAUAGCCCAAU